UACGUAGGCAGCAAGCGUUGUUCGGAGUUACUGGGCGUAAAGGGUGUGUAGGCGGUUAUUUAAGUUUGGUGUGAAAUCUCCCGGCUCAACUGGGAGGGUGCGCCGAAUACUGAAUAACUUCGAGUGCGGGAGAGGAAAGUGGAAUUCCUGGUGUAGCGGUGAAAUGCGUAGAUAUCAGGAAGAACACCCGUGGCGAAAGCGGCUCUCUGGAACGGUACUGACGCUGAGACGCGAAAGCGUGGGGAGCGAACAGG
rnacentral:rRNA from 1 species